rnacentral:rRNA from 1 species
GAUGAACGCUGGCGGCGUGCCUAAUACAUGCAAGUCGAGCGAACAGACGAGGAGCUUGCUCCUUUGACGUUAGCGGCGGACGGGUGAGUAACACGUAGGUAACCUACCUAUAAGACUGGGAUAACUUCGGGAAACCGGAGCUAAUACCGGAUAAUAUUUCGAACCGCAUGGUUCGAUAGUGAAAGAUGGCUUUGCUAUCACUUAUAGAUGGACCUGCGCCGUAUUAGCUAGUUGGUAAGGUAACGGCUUACCAAGGCAACGAUACGUAGCCGACCUGAGAGGGUGAUCGGCCACACUGGAACUGAGACACGGUCCAGACUCCUACGGGAGGCAGCAGUAGGGAAUAUUCCGCAAUGGGCGAAAGCCUGACGGAGCAACGCCGCGUGAGUGAUGAAGGUCUUCGGAUCGUAAAACUCUGUUAUUAGGGAAGAACAAACGUGUAAGUAACUGUGCACGUCUUGACGGUACCUAAUCAGAAAGCCACGGCUAACUACGUG